rnacentral:rRNA from 1 species
GUCGAACGGGCUCUUCGGAGCUAGUGGCGGACGGGUGAGUAACGCGUGAGGAUCUGCCCUUAGGACGGGGACAACAGCUGGAAACGGCUGCUAAUACCCGAUGUGCCGAGAGGUGAAACUAUUUGGCCUGAGGAUGAGCUCGCGUCUGAUUAGCUAGUUGGAGUGGUAACGGCACACCAAGGCGACGAUCAGUAGCUGGUCUGAGAGGAUGAUCAGCCACACUGGGACUGAGACACGGCCCAGACUCCUACGGGAGGCAGCAGUGGGGAAUUUUCCGCAAUGGGCGAAAGCCUGACGGAGCAAGACCGCGUGCGGGAGGAAGGUCUAUUGAUUGUAAACCGCUUUUGAUAGGGAAGAAGAUCUGACGGUACCUAUCGAAUCAGCAUCGGCUAACUCCGUGCCAGCAGCCGCGGUAAUACGGGGGAUGCAAGCGUUAUCCGGAAUUAUUGGGCGUAAAGCGUCCGUAGGUGGUUUUAAAAGUCUGUUGUCAAAUCGCGAGGCUUAACCUCGUACAGGCAGUGGAAACUAUAAGACUAGAGUGCGGUAGGGGUAGAGGGAAUUUCCAGUGUAGCGGUGAAAUGCGUAGAUAUUGGAAAGAACACCGGUGGCGAAGGCGCUCUACUGGGCCUGCACUGACACUGAGGGACGAAAGCUAGGGGAGCGAAAGGGAUUAGAUACCCCUGUAGUCCUAGCCGUAAACGAUGGAAACUAGGUGUUGCCCGUAUCGACCCGAGCCGUGCCGAAGC